GGCGAUAGACUGUAAAUCUAUUUAUGGGAAUUAUUCUCUCUCACCA
rnacentral:tRNA from 1 species